rnacentral:rRNA from 1 species
UCUGGUGGCAAUAGCGAAGAGGUCACACCUGUUCCCAUGCCGAACACAGCAGUUAAGCUCUUCUGCGCCGAUGGUAGUUGGGGCAUCGCCCCUGCAAGAGUAGGUCGCCGCCAGGC